AACGAACGCUGGCGGCAGGCUUAACACAUGCAAGUCGAGCGCCCCGCAAGGGGAGCGGCAGGCGGGUGAGUAACGCGUGGGAACGUACCUUUUGGUUCGGAACAACUCCGGGAAACUGGAGCUAAUACCGGAUAAGCCCUAACGGGGAAAGAUUUAUCGCCGAAAGAUCGGCCCGCGUCUGAUUAGCUAGUUGGUGAGGUAACGGCUCACCAAGGCGACGAUCAGUAGCUGGUCUGAGAGGAUGAUCAGCCACACUGGGACUGAGACACGGCCCAGACUCCUACGGGAGGCAGCAGUGGGGAAUAUUGGACAAUGGGCGCAAGCCUGAUCCAGCCAUGCCGCGUGAGUGAUGAAGGCCUUAGGGUUGUAAAGCUCUUUUGUCCGGGAAGAUAAUGACUGUACCGGAAGAAUAAGCCCCGGCUAACUUCGUG
rnacentral:rRNA from 1 species